AACUGCGACCCCCAGGUC
rnacentral:rRNA from 1 species